rnacentral:rRNA from 1 species
GUUGUCCGGAUUUAUUGGGCGUAAAGAGCGUGUAGGCGGUUUGGUAGGUCCGCUGUGAAAACUCGAGGCUCAACCUCGAGACGCCGGUGGAAACCAUCAGACUAGAGUCCGGAAGAGGAGAGUGGAAUUCCUGGUGUAGCGGUGAAAUGCGCAGAUAUCAGGAGGAACACCGGUGGCGAAGGCGGGUCUCUGGGCCGAUACUGACGCUGAGGAGCGAAAGCGUGGGGAGCGAACAGG